rnacentral:rRNA from 1 species
GAUGAACGCUGGCGGCGUGCCUAAUACAUGCAAGUCGAACGCUUCACUUCGGUGAAGAGUGGCGAACGGGUGAGUAAUACAUAAGUAACCUGGCAUCUACAGUGGGAUAACUGAUGGAAACGUCAGCUAAGACCGCAUAGGUGUAGAGAUCGCAUGAACUCUAUAUGAAAAGUGCUACGGGACUGGUAGAUGAUGGACUUAUGGCGCAUUAGCUUGUUGGUAGGGUAACGGCCUACCAAGGCGACGAUGCGUAGCCGACCUGAGAGGGUGACCGGCCACACUGGGACUGAGACACGGCCCAGACUCCUACGGGAGGCAGCAGUAGGGAAUUUUCGGCAAUGGGGGAGACCCUGACCGAGCAACGCCGCGUGAAGGAAGAAGUAAUUCGUUAUGGGAACUUCAGUCAUAGAGGAAGAACGGUGAAUAUAGGGAAUGAUAUCCAAGUGACGGUACUCUAUAAGAAAGCCACGGCUAACUACGUG